UACGUAGGGGGCAAGCGUUGUCCGGAUUUAUUGGGCGUAAAGAGCUCGUAGGCGGUUUGGUAAGUCUGGUGUGAAAUCUCCACGCUCAACGUGGAGGGGCCACCCGAUACUGCCAUGACUGGAGUCCGGUAGAGGAGUGUGGAAUUCCCGGUGUAGCGGUGAAAUGCGCAGAUAUCAGGAGGAACACCAACGGCGAAGGCAGCUCGCUGGGACGGUACUGAGCUAAGGCGCGAAAAGCAUGGGGGAGCGAACAGG
rnacentral:rRNA from 1 species